UCAUUAAGGAAAAGGAGAAAACCAAACAAACAAAGAAACUUCAUUCUGUGCUCCUGCCGUGCUGACGUGUCAUCACAAUUACCCGGAAGCCGGUGACAUCACAGUUAAAGGUCCUCCUGAAACCAACAACAGAAAACCUGUUCCAGCGCCUGCCUCUGAGCAAGAUUAUUUUCUCAUCAGACCUCUCUUGCUGUGGGGCAAUCUAUAUUGGAGCCCUAAUCCGUUGGAUUAUAAUGGACAUUUAUUUUUGGAGAAGAA